rnacentral:rRNA from 1 species
UGGUCUUGACAUCCCGAGAAUCUCUUAGAAAUAAGAGAGUGCCUCUUUUGAGGAACUUGGUGACAGGUGCUGCAUGGCUGUCGUCAGCUCGUGUCGUGAGAUGUUGGGUUAAGUCCCGCAACGAGCGCAACCCUUGCCUUUAGUUGCCAUCAUUAAGUUGGGCACUCUAGAGGGACUGCCGGUGUCAAACCGGAGGAAGGUGGGGAUGACGUCAAGUCCUCAUGGCCUUUAUGACCAGGGCUACACACGUACUACAAUGGCAUGUACAAAGGGCAGCCACAGGGUGACCUGGAGCGAAUCCUUAAAACAUGUCUCAGUCCGGAUUGGAGUCUGCAACUCGACUCCAUGAAGU